rnacentral:tRNA from 1 species
GAGACUUUAGUAUAAUGGUUAUUACAUAUGACUUUUAAUCAUCCAGACAUUGGUUCAAAUCCAGUAAGUCUUA